rnacentral:rRNA from 1 species
AACGAACGCUGGCGGCAUGCCUAACACAUGCAAGUCGAACGAGACCUUCGGGUCUAGUGGCGCACGGGUGCGUAACGCGUGGGAACCUGCCCUUAGGUUCGGAAUAACUCCCCGAAAGGGGUGCUAAUACCGGAUAAUGUCUUCGGACCAAAGAUUUAUCGCCUUUGGAUGGGCCCGCGUUGGAUUAGCUAGUUGGUAGGGUAAAAGCCUACCAAGGCGACGAUCCAUAGCUGGUCUGAGAGGAUGAUCAGCCACACUGGGACUGAGACACGGCCCAGACUCCUACGGGGGGAAGCAGGGGGGAAUAUGGGACAAGGGGCGAAGGCCUGAUCCAGCAAGGCCGCGUGGGUGAUGAGGGCCUUAGGGUUGUAAGCUCUUUUACCCGGGAUGAUAAUGACAGUACCGGGAGAAUAAGCUCCGGCUAACUCCGUG